GCGCCAUAGGGCGCGGACGCGCUCCCCGCAGGUUGCGGACCUGAAGGUCGCAUGUUCGAGUCAUGCUGGGCGCGCCA
rnacentral:tRNA from 1 species